rnacentral:rRNA from 1 species
GAUGAACGCUGGCGGCGUGCUUAACACAUGCAAGUCGAACGGAAAGGCCCAAGCUUGCUUGGGUACUCGAGUGGCGAACGGGUGGGUAACACGUGGGUGAUCUGCCCUGCACUUCGGGAUAAGCCUGGGAAACUGGGUCUAAUACCGGAUAGGACGAUGGUUUGGAUGCCAUUGUGGAAAGUUUUUUCGGUGUGGGAUGAGCUCGCGGCCUAUCAGCUUGUUGGUGGGGUAAUGGCCUACCAAGGCGUCGACGGGUAGCCGGCCUGAGAGGGUGUACGGCCACAUUGGGACUGAGAUACGGCCCAGACUCCUACGGGAGGCAGCAGUGGGGAAUAUUGCACAAUGGGCGCAAGCCUGAUGCAGCGACGCCGCGUGGGGGAUGAAGGCCUUCGGGUUGUAAACUCCUUUCGCUAGGGACGAAGCGUUUUUGUGACGGUACCUGGAGAAGAAGCACCGGCUAACUACGUG